AAAACUUUCAACAACGGAUCUCUUGGUUCUGGCAUCGAUGAAGAACGCAGCGAAAUGCGAUAAGUAAUGUGAAUUGCAGAAUUCAGUGAAUCAUCGAAUCUUUGAACGCACAUUGCGCCCGCCAGUACUCUGGCGGGCAUGCCUGUUCGAGCGUCAUCACAACCCUCAGGCGCCUCUCCCCCGGGAGAGGGGCCUGGCGUUGGGGGACGGCCCCGCGCCU
rnacentral:rRNA from 1 species